GGAAUGGGAGGCGGAGAAAAAAGAGAAAGGUGUGUUUGUUUAUAACAGACAGGGCCUUGAUCAAGUUGACGUAUCGAGCACUGACUAUCUCUUGGGUUUAUUCGCACAAGGCCAUAUGAACUUUGACGUCGAACGCAAUGCUUCCAGGGAACCAGCACUCCAUCAGAUGGUUG
rnacentral:sRNA from 1 species